CUCUGCGGGAGGCCGAGGGAGAGCUUGCACCUGACUUCCCUUCUCCCUUUCCCUUCUCCCUCGGGCAGCCCGCGGCUUUUCUGCGGCUCUUGGGCUCUGCACCGGGCAGGUGGGAUGGAGGGGGGCCCUUUCCCCUAGCCCGGGUGCCCUGCGCUCUCUCCCCGCUCGCCCUCCAACUCCGCUCGGAUGCGCGCACCCCCGGAGUGCGGUCCCGCGGGCCCUGGCCACUUUCUCCUCCGCUGACUUCCAGUCCCGCCUUAGAGCCCUGGGGGUCUGCGCCGCUGCCCCCCACCCCCACCCCUGCCCUUCAUCUCCCAUUGCACGAGAGAGUGGAUGAAGGAGAGAGGACAAAGCACGGGUGACUUUCCAGAGUAUUAGCGGUUGGAGGGACCGAGAGGAGUGGGUGCCUGGGUUGAAGCAGCUUUUCUACUAAGUCUCCUUAGGCCUGGACUUCUAAAAUAACCUUCUAACUAGGCUUCCUGCCUUAAGUCUCUCCUGACUCCUGUCCAUCCUCCCCUCAGGUGCUAAGAUGAUUUUUCUAAAGGUCUUCCCAUGUUUCUCUGGAUCAAUGAAGACAGAAUGAAUCCUACUUAAAAGAAUGUGUUGUUUUCCUGAUUGGACUAUUAACAAGAUUGAGAACUGGAAAGAUCUAGUCCAGUGCCUUCGUUUUACGGGGGAGGAAUCUGAAACCCAGAACAUGGAAGCCAUUGGACCAAUGUCACACUGGAAAUAAGUAGCAUCACUAACAUUUGAACCCAGCUUCUCUGACUUCAGUUCCAUCACUCCCAUUGUUCCAAUGAAAUGGAAAGCAUCUUUUAAUGUAAUAGGUUUGGGUGGGAUUGAACCCCUUUCUUUCUACAAUUAUAGUUCAUUAUCAGCUCUAUAUUAGUACUUUUUACUCAUAACAAUUUUUGAUGGUAAUAGACAGCUAGGUAGGACAAUGAAGAGAGUGCUAGACUUGAUGUCAAGAAGGCCUGAAUUCAAAUCUUGCCUCUGUUAUUUACUAGCUAAGUGAUACUUGAUAAGUUACUUAACCUCACAGCCUCAGUUUCCUUACCUACACAAUGGGGAUAAUAAUAGCACCUACUUCAUAGGGUAGGAGGGAGGAUCAACUGAGGCAAUCUAUACAAAGCUUUGUAAACCUUGACAUGCCAUAUAAAUGUUAGUGCUUUGCUAUUACUCCUGUUAGUAAUUUAAAUUUAAAAUUUAUUUAAGAGUACAACCGUGUAAGAAUUAAAUUGAAUAACCACAAGGUAAUUAUAAAAGAAUAAAAUCCAAAUAAAACUCAACAAAAAAAAAGAAUUUAAAUCUGCACAUCUCACUGAAAACUCAACAGUCUUCUGAGGAAUUGCCUUCUUUUGUUAAAGUAAUACUGACUGCUCUGACCCCCACGGCUGGAAGGCCAGGCAUAUUCCAUUUCACCCCACCCCCAGGGCUCUCUGGUACUCUUAAGGAGGACUGUGGAGGUUUCUAGGCUGUUUGCCAGUGGUUCCAGCACUGAAUGAUGGUGUUCCUUCAAGUCUUAGAGGUGGAGUCCCCUGUACUCCGGUUUCAUUUAACCACUAACAGUGAGGUUAGCUUUUAUAAAAGAAUAUUUACUUUAAACAUAUAUUAAGAAACUUACAAACCUACUAUAGGACACAUGGGAGGCAUAAUUUCCCUCUAUCCCCUAAACCUCCAAACCACUUCUGUCUCAAGGGGAAGGGGAUUAGGUUCACAGCUUAGCUCAGUGCCUAUAAAGCACAGUCCCAAGUUCUAAAUCCAAACCCUACUUCCUCUUGGGCUUGAGUCCCCAGUACCCUGGCUUCUCAGAGCUUCCCUGCUAGGCUGGCUGGCUACAACAUCCCACUGGAACCCUGGCUCUGAGGUCACCAUGGCUUGAUUUUGGUCUAGUGGGGAUUACCACCUGCACUUGAAAAUGAGAAGGAUAAAUGAAACUAAACAGAUACAAAGUCCUAGGCCAUGAGGCCUAAAAAGACCUAAGGGGUAAGGUAUCUUCCCUUCCUGGAUCAAUUCAUGGCAUCCAUACUGUGAGUGAAUUAUGUGUCUCUUCACACUCAGUAAGCAUCUAGAAGGAGCUGCCCCACCAUUCUAGAGAGUAAUUUGGAACUAUGCUCAAGGGCUAUGAAAGUGUGCAUACCCUUUGAUCCAGCAAUAGU